CAGAGGGUGCAAACGUUGUUCGGAAUUACUGGGCGUAAAGCGCGUGUAGGCUGCUCUGCAAGUCGGAUGUGAAAGCCCUGGGCUCAACCUAGGAAGUGCACUCGAAACUGCGGAGCUUGAGUCUCGGAGAGGAUCGCGGAAUUCUCGGUGUAGAGGUGAAAUUCGUAGAUAUCGAGAGGAACACCGGUGGCGAAGGCGGCGAUCUGGACGAUGACUGACGCUGAGACGCGAAAGCGUGGGGAGCAAACAGGAUUAGAUACCCUGGUAGUCCACGCCGUAAACGAUGGGUGCUAGGUGUCAGGGGCUUUGACCCCUCUGGUGCCGUAGCUAACGCAUUAAGCACCCCGCCUGGGGAGUACGGCCGCAAGGCUA
rnacentral:rRNA from 1 species